GGGACCCGGUGCAUUAGUGCUGGU
rnacentral:siRNA from 1 species